rnacentral:lncRNA from 1 species
GGGGGGGCCUGGGAUUUUUAUUAUGUUCAUAAAUUUUUUUUCAGAACCUUCCUCCGAUAAAAUUUUUUUUUCUUAUGAGAAGGAAAGCAAAAAAUUUUUUCCUAUAAUUUGGAACAGAAAUACAUUUUUUUUUCUCAAAACCAUAAAAUUUACAUAAAAUUCAUUUUAAUUUUUUAAUUGAUGUAAAAUGUAAAGUGCAUGGCUCUGUCUGUAUCCUGG